rnacentral:lncRNA from 1 species
GUUCCCCAGUAGAGUCGCCAGAGCUGUCACACCCCUUUUUCUAACCCCAAAAAGAUUCGUUUUAAGUUUCGAAAGGGCUUUUAUUAAAGUGACAAAAAAUAAAAAUUUUGUUUCGAAAAGGAUUAUUUAUAUUUAAACUCAGAGUCGCCACUUGGCAUAAUCUGGUGUGCCAAGUCACCGUUAAAAAUCCUUUUUCGAAAAUAAUUUUGACUCUUUUAAA